CUGACGAGCACGCCGCGUGAGUGAUGAGGUCUUCGGAUCGUAAAACUCUGUUAUUAGGGAAGAACAAAUGUGUAAGUAACUAUGCACGUCUUGACGGUACCUAAUCAGAAAGCCACGGCUAACUACGUGCCAGCAGCCGCGGUAAUACGUAGGUGGCAAGCGUUAUCCGGAAUUAUUGGGCGUAAAGCGCGCGUAGGCGGUUUUUUAAGUCUGAUGUGAAAGCCCACGGCUCAACCGUGGAGGGUCAUUGGAAACUGGAAAACUUGAGUGCAGAAGAGGAAAGUGGAAUUCCAUGUGUAGCGGUGAAAUGCGCAGAGAUAUGGAGGAACACCAGUGGCGAAGGCGACUUUCUGGUCUGUAACUGACGCUGAUGUGCGAAAGCGUGGGGAUCAAACA
rnacentral:rRNA from 1 species